CAGUCGAGCGGGGANGGUUGCUUCGGUAACUGACCUAGCGGCGGACGGGUGAGUAAUGCUUAGGAAUCUGCCAUUUAGUGGGGGACAACAUUCCGAAAGGAAUGCUAAUACCGCAUACGUCCUACGGGAGAAAGCAGGGGAUCUUCGGACCUUGCGCUAAAUGAUGAGCCUAAGUCGGAUUAGCUAGUUGGUGGGGUAAAGGCCUACCAAGGCGACGAUCUGUAGCGGGUCUGAGAGGAUGAUCCGCCACACUGGGACUGAGACACGGCCCAGACUCCUACGGGAGGCAGCAGUGGGGAAUAUUGGACAAUGGGCGCAAGCCUGAUCCAGCCAUGCCGCGUGUGUGAAGAAGGCCUUUUGGUUGUAAAGCACUUUAAGCGAGGAGGAGGCUCUCUUAGUUAAUACCUAAGAUGAGUGGACGUUACUCGCAGAAUAAGCACCGGCUAACUCUGUGCCAGCAGCCGCGGUAAUACAGAGGGUGCGAGCGUUAAUCGGAUUUACUGGGCGUAAAGCGUGCGUAGGCGGCUUUUUAAGUCGGAUGUGAAAUCCCCGAGCUUAACUUGGGAAUUGCAUUCGAUACUGGGAAGCUAGAGUAUGGGAGAGGAUGGUAGAAUUCCAGGUGUAGCGGUGAAAUGCGUAGAGAUCUGGAGGAAUACCGAUGGCGAAGGCAGCCAUCUGGCCUAAUACUGACGCUGAGGUACGAAAGCAUGGGGAGCAAACAGGAUUAGAUACCCUGGUAGUCCAUGCCGUANACGAUGUCUACUAGCCGUUGGGGCCUUUGAGGCUUUAGUGGCGCAGCUAACGCGAUAAGUAGACCGCCUGGGGAGUACGGNCGCAAGACUAAAACUCANAUGAAUUGACGGGGGCCCGCACAANCGGUGGAGCAUGUGGNUUAAUUCNNUGCAACGCGNNGAACCUUACCUGGNNNNGACANACUANANACUUUCNNGANNUGGAUUGGUGC
rnacentral:rRNA from 1 species